rnacentral:sRNA from 1 species
AGCCCCUUGAUGACUCGAUCCCUCAGAUUUUCCUAUACGGGGCUCGAAUUUUCCAGAGGGGCUAGAUCCCGGAGAUCUUGAGUCGCUUCGCCUACUCAUCCGUGAGGCGCAGCGAAUAACACUCUCCAAGAUUAUCCCUUGAUUGAGUUUCUUUUUUCCCUUCAUUUUUACUUGGUUUCUUUGGUAUAGGCUGACCCGUGAUGGCAUGAAUCUUUGAGACCUGAGAAUUUUCUUCCUUGAUGAAAAUCACAAGCAUGAUCCCUGAGGGCCUUAGACUGACUCUUCUUUUUUUUCCUUCAUCUAUUCUUUUAAUCAAACAUCUGUUUUGUUAUGGUAUUAUGAAUGAUGAAAUGCACUGGGCUCCGAGCAGUGAAUUACGCUGCGUUUUGAUGGAUAUGCAUUUGCCUAGAAAGCAUUGACUGACACUUUACCACCUACGAACAAUAUCAGCAUCAUCUAUACCUAAGAUCGGCAUUGUUUAUAGUAUGGGGUAAUUUUUUUCUUAGAUUGAAACUGUGAACCACAGCUCCUUAAGGCUGCAUUGUACCAAGAUUAGGGUUCUACCUUUGCCCUCGUCUUGAUUGCCAUUACAGGCUGUAGCCAAAUUAAUUAACGUGGAAGUAAAACUGGUCGGGUUGCCAAUUGAUUCCAUGGGCAUUCCGCUUACCGAACUUCCCAUAUUGCCAUAUGUUGUUUUAACUGAUUUUGAGUUCUCAAUCUACUGCGAGGGGUAGUGGAGGGGAAUGGUUCAUGUGUCUGCCAUUCUUGGUACACCCUCGCGAACAGCAAUAUCCUGCCGCUUUCUUCCUCCGUUUAGGAUUUGCAAUGAUCUGCUUUCAACUCCCUUCUGAUCGUUUUAUAUCCUGCGAGGAAGAUUGUGGCGGGUGGUUCAUCAUCCGGGCAACCUGAUGUUAAUGUCGCAGGUUGCGUCAUUGAUGUUUACAUUU